AUGGCUCAGGAUGAACGCUAGCGGCAGGCUUAACACAUGCAAGUCGAGGGGCAGCGCGAGUAGCAAUACUUGGCGGCGACCGGCGCAAGGGUGCGUAACGCGUGAGCAACAUGCCCGUAUCAGGGGGAUAAUCCAGGGAAACUUGGUCUAAUACCCCAUAGUAAUUUUGUAAGGCAUCUUAUAAGAUUUAAAGCUUUGGUGGAUACGGAUUGGCUCGCGUGACAUUAGCUGGAUGGUAAGGUAACGGCUUACCAUGGCUAUGAUGUCUAGGGGUUCUGAGAGGAAGGUCCCCCACACUGGAACUGAGACACGGUCCAGACUCCUACGGGAGGCAGCAGUGAGGAAUAUUGGACAAUGGAUGGAAAUCUGAUCCAGCCAUGCCGCGUGAAGGAAGAAGGUCCUAUGGAUUGUAAACUUCUUUUGUAUGGGAGCAAUAAGGCCUACGAGUAGGUUGAUGAGAGUACCAUACGAAUAAGCACCGGCUAACUCCGUGCCAGCCGCAGC
rnacentral:rRNA from 1 species